CAUUUUUUUUUUUACUUUUUUGUAGACGAACGAAACUCUAUCAAAACUCGGGACUAAUUUUUUCUACCAAAAAAAAAAAAAACACUCAGACUAAUUUUUUCUCUGCAACAAUCAUGAAAAUUCUGAAGGCUUAUUUGACAAUUUAGGACGCUCUCUCUCUCUUCUCCCUCUCUGAAUCUUUUAGAGAGAGAAUGCGUUCUUCUUCUUGCCGUCCGGUGUUUAUCCGGCUAUAUGUCCGGCAUCUUCCGUUUUCCACAACGGUGAUGGUCGGCUCUCGUCUGGCACCGAUUGGCUUCUCCAGCAACGGUGGCUAGCUCCUGCAUCGAUCAGCUUUUCUAGUGAUCUGGAUUGUUUCUUGUCUCUUCAAGAUGGGUUUCGCCGGAUCGUUUUCUUUUGAACUCGGGUUUGCAGAAUGGUUUCAAGGAGAUUUCCAUCUUAUGUUGAAGGAUAGAAGAUUCUUCCGUCGCUUAUCACGAUGCCUUAAGCUGUUAUCUUUUAAUUUGGAGCUUCGAUGUCUUCAUUCCGGUGCAAAACACAAGAAUCAACGUUUGAUUUCAUAUCAGCGAAGAUUUCUUACCGGAAUCGGCGCUCAACGGCGAAGGUUGUUGCCGGAAAACUUUUGAUUACUCAUCCAGCGUGUGAUGUGGUAUAUCCGGUUGUCGACACGUUCCAUGGAUGGAGUUCAGAUAGAAUUGCUUCUGCAGAAGUCUGGUUAUCUGAUGGGCCUUUCUUGGGCUUCUUUAUUUCUGUAAAUCUAAAGUUGGGGCUUUGUUUAAGCCUUUGUAUGAUA